UGAUGGGAAUGGAGAAAAGGGGAAGGACACAACCAGGAAUCUCUUUCUGAACAGGGUAUCUCCCCUUUUGUUGCUUAUUUUACCUGCAGGGCCUCUCUGAGGGACUCCGGAGAGGCACUGAGAAUUGGCAGGUUACUUUACCAGCCUGCUGCUCCUACUGGGAAAGAUGGUGCCUGUGGAGAAAUCCUUUGCUGCUCUGGAAUCCAACCAACCUUCUUAGUUUCAGCCUCUGACUAGAAAAUUGGGAGGGAGAGAGUAAUGGCAGCUUGUUUGUAAAGAAAAAUGAAUUACACAAAGCCAGAUUUUACUUCCCUGACAUAACCUACUUCUUUCUCUUUCGUGAGAUUUCCCCAACAUCAUGGAGAGCCCUUGGUGCUGAUGCAAGAGCGACCGGGCAAAGAGCCUAUGCCAAGUUGAGGCUGGAUCACUUGUCUAAGGAUCCUAUAAAUGCUUCAGACAAGCGCUCACACACAGAAAUCCAUACAGGGCACAAUGAAGAAGAUAAUCAGGGAUCAAGAUGGCAGAGGAGGAAUAUCCUAAGCUGACCUCCCACGGACACACCAAAACUACAACUACCUAUAGAACAGCUAUCACUGAGAAUGACCUGAAGACUAGCAGAACAGGUCUUCCACAACUAAAGACAUAAAGAAAGAGCCACAUCAUGACAGGGGUGAUAAUACUGAUGUCACAAUAUGAAGAUUGUGACGAUGUGACAAUAUGAAGAUAUGAAGAUGUGAAGAUUAAGUGAGACAAUGCGUGCAAGAUACCUGGUCUAUCGUAAGCAUUCUCAAGUGGUAGCCGGUUUCAUAUCUGAUGACCUUGGACACUACGCUCCUGUCAUGAAUUACUUGGCUGACACCUCUGAUUGUAUUGCUUGGGAAACAAUUAUC